rnacentral:rRNA from 1 species
AAUAGUUUUUUAAUUGAAAACUGGAAUGAAUGAUUGAACAAAAAAUUAACUGUCUUUUAUAUAAGAAUUGAAUUUUACUUUUAAGUGAAAAGGCUUAAAUAAUUUAAAGGGACGAUAAGACCCUUUAAAACUUUACAAAAUAGUAGUAGUUUAUAAAGUAGAUUUAAAAUAAAUUAUUUUAAUUUUGUUUAAUUGGGGUGAUUUAGAUAUAAUGAAUAACUGUUUUAUAUUUUAUAUAGUUAUAAUUAGAUUUCUUUAUGAUCCUUUUUAAAGAUUAAAAGAAUAAGUUACUUUAGGGAUAACAGCGUAAUUUUUUUUGAGAGUUCUUAUCAAUAAAAGUAUUUGCGACCUCGAUGUUGAAUUAAGAUUUUUAUUAAAUGUAGCAGUUUAAAUUAAUAAGUCUGUUCGACUUUUAAAAUCUU